rnacentral:rRNA from 1 species
GAUGAACGCUGGCGGCGUGCCUAAUACAUGCAAGUCGAGCGAACAGACGAGGAGCUUGCUCCUCUGACGUUAGCGGAGGACGGGUGAGUAACACGUGGAUAACGUACCUAUAAGACUGGGAUAACUUCGGGAAAGCGGAGCUAAUACCGGAGAAUAUAUUGAACCGCAUGGUUGAAUAGUGAAAGACGGUGGUGCGGGCACGUAUAGAUGGAUCUGCGCCGCAUUAGCUAGUUGGUAAGGUAACGGCUUACCAAGGCGACGAUGCGUAGCCGAGCUGAGUGGGUGAUCGGCCACACUGGAACUUGGACACGGUCCAGACUCCUACGGGAGGCAGCAGUAGGGAAUCUUCCGCAAUGGGCGAAAGCUUGACGGAGCAACGCGGCGUGAGUGAUGAAGGUCUUCCGAUCGUAAAACUCUGUUAUUAGGGAAGAACAAAUGUGUAAGUAACUAUGCACGUCUUGACGGUACCUAAUCAGAAAGCCACGGCUAACUACGUG